rnacentral:lncRNA from 1 species
UCAUGUUUAUAUUAUGUUGAAAGUCAUCUGUGGCCUGUAGUGCAUAGAUGGACUUGGUAUGAUUAUGACCAGGGAUUAUUCGGUGUAAUCAUGACCGUAAUGUUACAAAUGAUGUGGUAAAAGUCCUCAUUGGCCCGUAGUGCAUUGAUGGACAGUUGUUGGCAUGAUCAUGACCAUUAAUGAAUACACGAAUGUCCUUGGCUGUAGUGCAUGGAUAAUUUGUGGUCGUGAUACUAAAGAAUAUCCUUGGCCGUAGUGCAGGGGUGAUUCGAUGAUGUGGAUUAUUUAUUAAGCUG